rnacentral:piRNA from 1 species
UGGGAGAUGAGGCCCACUUUUGGACCACAUGU